rnacentral:rRNA from 1 species
ACUCCUACGGGAGGCAGCAGUGGGGAAUAUUGGACAAUGGGCGCAAGCCUGAUCCAGCCAUGCCGCGUGUGUGAAGAAGGCCUUCGGGUUGUAAAGCACUUUUGUUGGGAAAGAAAUCCUGUCGGUUAAUACCCGGCGGGGCUGACGGUACCCAAAGAAUAAGCACCGGCUAACUUCGUGCCAGCAGCCGCGGUAAUACGAAGGGUGCAAGCGUUACUCGGAAUUACUGGGCGUAAAGCGUGCGUAGGUGGUUUGUUAAGUCAGAUGUGAAAGCCCCGGGCUCAACCUGGGAAUUGCAUUUGAUACUGGCAGACUAGAGUGCGGUAGAGGAGAGUGGAAUUCCCGGUGUAGCAGUGAAAUGCGUAGAGAUCGGGAGGAACAUCAGUUGCGAAGGCGGCUCUCUGGACCAGCACUGACACUGAGGCACGAAAGCGUGGGGAGCAAACAGGAUUAGAUACCCUGGUAGUCCACGCCCUAAACGAUGCGAACUGGACGUUGGGUGCAAUUGAGCAUUCAGUGUCGAAGCUAACGCGUUAA